rnacentral:lncRNA from 1 species
AGCUCCCGCAACGGCCCCCUCCCGGGGCACCCGCCCACCCAGGCUUCUCGGAUUCCGGAGAGUUGCGGGCAGAACAAAAGCAAACGCCAGCCGGGCUUCCGAUUGCUUUCCGGUGGAGAGCAGCCGGGGAAGAGGCUGGGGGAGCUGGCCCAGGACCGGGCUGCGUGGUCAAACCCGACCGGCUGCCGGCAGCUGCCCGCCCUCCCCAGCGGAUUCGGGCUGGGGAUUGCCGAGCCGGAGAAAGCGGCGGGGCUGCCUCCCUCCCUCCCAGCUCUCCCGGGCACCCCAAGCCCCCGCCCUGGGGCCGCGAGGGGCAGAGUGGAAGCCUCAGUCGGGUGGGGCGUGGGGGGCGCUAUAGCAACCCCUGAACGAAGCGCGAAGGCGGCUAGGGGAGAAGAUGCUAGGGGACUGGGGCAGACCCCACAACCAAGAUCCCAAUUCGAACUCGCAAUACGAACCGCCCCUCGGAGCCCCCAAACGCGCGGAACUGCCCGCAGGGGUGGGGUCCCCCCCCAGCACCCGGUCCCUAAAUUCUCCUGCACUACACACCCCCCGGGGACGCCCAGUGGCAACCUUCCCAUCGGAACCGCAGAUCCAGGGACAGCCCCCGCGCGCUGUCGGCCGAGGAAAGGGGUCCUUGAGCGCGGCCGCGUCGGUCCCGCGGGAGACACCCCCCCCCCUCGGAAACUCGCUAGUUUGGUAUUUGCUUGGUUUUCCGUUGGGUUUGGGUUUUUUUAUAAAGGUGAGGUAGGGGUGCAGAGAGAGCGGGGAAGUAGCAUUUCUUCCCUUCGCCCGGCUUCUCCAGAACCCGCAGAACUCCGAGAGGGGCAGGCAGCGGGAGAAGAAAGAAAGCGGAGGGGGAGCCACUUACCCAAGGCAGAGCCCGAGAGCGCGGCGGCCCGGGCGCGAGAGACGCCUUUGUCUGCGGUCGCGGCGCCGGCGCGCUCGGCCAGGCGGGUCCCAACCCCGGCGCGCCGCGAGCUCCCGCGGGCGCCCGGACAGCCCGGCUCGCGGCUCCGGCUCCGGCUCCGGCUCGCGGCUCCGGCUCCGGCUCCGGCUCCGCUCCGGCCCCCG